rnacentral:rRNA from 1 species
CAGUAGCCGCGGGAAAACGGAGGGUGCAAGCGUUAAUCGGAAUUACUGGGCGUAAAGCGCACGCAGGCGGUCUGUCAAGUCAGAUGUGAAAUCCCCGGGCUUAACCUGGGAACUGCAUUUGAAACUGGCAGGCUAGAGUCUUGUAGAGGGGGGUAGAAUUCCAGGUGUAGCGGUAAAAUGCGUAGAGAUCUGGAGGAAUACCGGUGGCGAAGGCGGCCCCCUGGACAAAGACUGACGCUCAGGUGCGAAAGCGUGGGGAGCAAACAGGAUUAGAUACCCCCGUAGUCACUGUCUCUUAUAC